rnacentral:rRNA from 1 species
UACGUAGGGUGCAAGCGUUGUCCGGAAUUAUUGGGCGUAAAGAGCUCGUAGGCGGUCUGUCGCGUCGGCUGUGAAAACUCGGGGCUCAACCCCGAGCCUGCAGUCGAUACGGGCAGACUAGAGUGCUGUAGGGGAGACUGGAAUUCCUGGUGUAGCGGUGAAAUGCGCAGAUAUCAGGAGAACACCGGUGGCGAAGGCGGGUCUCUGGCGAGUAACUGACGCUGGAGAGCGAAAGCGUGGGGAGCGAACAGG